AGCGUUAGCGUAAGCGGGCGUGGACUGCAUAGAAGUGAGAAUGUCGGCUUGAGUAGCGAAAACAUGGGUGAGAAUCCCAUGCCCCGAAACCCUAAGGGUUCCUCCGGCAGGCUCGUCCGCGGAGGGUUAGUCUGGUCCUAAGGUCAGGCCGAAAGGCGUAGUCGAUGGAUAACAGGUCAACAUUCCUGUACCAGUUAUGUUUUGGGAAGGGGGACGGAGAAGGCUAGCCAAUCCAGAUGUUGGUUACUGGUUCAAGCGUUCGAGGCUUUGAGGAACGGAGAAAACGUUCUGAGCUAAGGCGUGAGUACGAGCUGCUACGGCAGCGAAGUUGGUGACGUCAUGCUUCCAAGAAAAUCCCUAUACCCGUUAAGGCAUAACUGCCAGUACCCGAAACCGACACAGGUGGGGUGGUAGAGAAUACCGAGGGGCGCGAGAUAACUCUCUCUAAGGAACUCGGCAAAAUGGUCCCGUAACUUCGGGAGAAGGGAUGCCAGCGCAAGCUGGUCGCAGUGAAGAGGCCCAGGCGACUGUUUACCAAAAACACAGGUCUCCGCUAAGUCGCAAGACGAUGUAUGGGGGCUGACACCUGCCCAGUGCCGGAAGGUUAAGGAAGCUGGUUAGCGUAAGCGAAGCUGGUGACUGAAGCCCCGGUGAACGGCGGCCGUAACUAUAACGGUCCUAAGGUAGCGAAAUUCCUUGUCGGGUAAGUUCCGACCCGCACGAAAGGUGUAACGAUCUGGGCGCUGUCUCGGAGAGAGGCUCGGCGAAAUAGAAUUGUCUGUGAAGAUGCGGACUACAUACACCCGGACAGAAAGACCCUAUGAAGCUUUACUGCAGGUUGGUAUUGUUCUCGGGCUCUGAAUGCGCAGGAUAGGUGGGAGACAUUGAUGUAGUGCUUUUGGGUGCUACUGAGUCAACGGUGAGAUACCACUCUUUCAGAGCUAGAGAUCUAACGUUUACCCGUUAUCCGGGAAACGGACAGUAUCUGCUGGGCAGUUUGACUGGGGCGGUCGCCUCCUAAAAGGUAACGGAGGCGCACAAAGGUUUCCUCAGGCUGGUUGGAAAUCAGUCGUCGAGUGCAAAAGCAGAAGGAAGCUUGACUGUGAGACCUACAAGUCGAACAGGGACGAAAGUCGGUUUUAGUGAUCCGACGGUUCUGAGUGGAAGGGCCGUCGCUCAACGGAUAAAAGUUACUCUAGGGAUAACAGGCUGAUCUCCCCCAAGAGUUCACAUCGACGGGGAGGUUUGGCACCUCGAUGUCGGCUCAUCGCAACCUGGGGCUGAAGUCGGUCCCAAGGGUUGGGCUGUUCGCCCAUUAAAGCGGUACGCGAGCUGGGUUCAGAACGUCGUGAGACAGUUCGGUCCAUAUCCGGUGUAUGCGCAGGAAUAUUGAGAGGAUUUCUCCCUAGUACGAGAGGACCGGGAGGAACGCACCUCUGGUGUACCAGUUAUCGUGCCAACGGUAAACGCUGGGUAGCCAUGUGCGGAGUGGAUAACCGCUGAAAGCAUCUAAGUGGGAAGCCCACCUCAAGAUGAGUAUUCCCAUGGUUUAAACCAGUAAGAUCACGGGAAGAACACCCGUUGAUAGGCUCUACGUGGAAGUCUGGUAACAGAUGCAGCGGAGGAGUACUAAUAGAUCGAGGGCUUGACCUU
rnacentral:rRNA from 1 species